CCUACGGGUGUCAGCAGUGAGGAAUAUUGGUCAAUGGACGGGAGUCUGAACCAGCCAAGUAGCGUGAAGGAUGACUGCCCUACGGGUUGUAAACUUCUUUUAUACGGGAAUAACAUGUUACACGUGUGGGGUUUUGUAUGUACCUUAUGAAUAAGGAUCGGCUACCUCCGUGCCAGCAGCCGCGGUAAUACGGAGGAUCCGAGCGUUAUCCGGAUUUAUUGGGUUUAAAGGGUGCGUAGGUGGGUUGUUAAGUCAGUUGUGAAAGUUCGGGGCUCAACCGUGGAAUUGCAGUGGAAACUGGCAGUCUUGAGUACAGUAGAGGUAGGCGGAAUUCGUGGUGUAGCGGUGAAAUGCUUAGAUAUCACGAAGAACCCCGAUUGCGAAGGCAGCUCACUGGAGUGAAACUGACGCUGAGGCUCGAAAGUGUGGGUAUCAAACAGGAUUAGAUACCCUAGUAGUC
rnacentral:rRNA from 1 species